rnacentral:siRNA from 1 species
GUGGAUAUCCGAUUGGUCC